rnacentral:rRNA from 1 species
GAGUUUGAUCCUGGCUCAGAUUGAACGCUGGCGGAAUGCUUUACACAUGCAAGUCGAGCGGCAGCGCGGGGGCAACCCUGGCGGCGAGCGGCGAACGGGUGAGUAAUACAUCGGAACAUGUCCAGUCGUGGGGGAUAGCCCGGCGAAAGCCGGAUUAAUACCGCAUGAGCUCUGGCGAGGAAAGCGGGGGACCGAAAGGCCUCGCGCGAUUGGGUUGGCCGAUGUCCGAUUAGCUAGUUGGUGGGGUAAAGGCCUACCAAGGCGAUGAUCGGUAGCUGGUCUGAGAGGAUGAUCAGCCACACUGGGACUGAGACACGGCCCAGACUCCUACGGGAGGCAGCAGUGGGGAAUUUUGGACAAUGGGGGAAACCCUGAUCCAGCCAUUCCGCGUGAGUGAAGAAGGCCUC